GGGACAGAGAAAGCCAAGGGUAGGGAGGAAUUGCUGGAAAGAAAACAAACCAGCUUUUACCAGCUUUGGGUUUUCUUUCUGCCAGGUGUGCAGCAACAGCGCUGUCACUGUUGAGACUGCUCUUCUGCAGAGAAGAGGAAUGGGAGGGACGAGAAGAAAGAUGUGCUUUCCUCCCUCUUUUCUGGGUAUCUUGCAGGCUCAAGCUCACUCUCAUCCCUGAAAUAAGGUCUGCCUACACCAAGCAGCUCAGCC
rnacentral:lncRNA from 1 species